GGAUUAGGCUUAGGGUUAGGGUUAGGUGUUUGGGUUAAUGUUAGGGUCAGGUUUAGAGUUCGGCUUAGGGUUAGGGCUACAGCUGGGGUAAAGUUUAAUUGAAGGGUGAGGGUUGAGCUUAGGGUUAGCGUUAGGGGUUAGGGUUAGAGCUUAGGUUAGGAUUAAGUGUAGGGUUAAGGUUAGGUUUAGAUUUAGGGUUAGGGUUAGUGUUAGGGUUAAGUCAUGUUUAGGUUUAGGGCUAGGUGAAGGUUAUAGGUAGGGUUAGGUUAAGGGUUGAGGUUAGGUUUAGAUGGUAAGAUGAGGGUUAGUGCUAGGUUUCCAUUGAAGCUGAGUGUGUAGGGUAAGUUUUAGGGUAGGAUUAGGGUUAGAGUUAGGGUUAGGGUCAGGGUUAGUUUUGAGUUUAGAGUUAGGGUUACGUUUAUGGUACGGUCAGGGUUAGGGGAGAUUAGUGUUACGUUUAGUUUUAGGGCUAGGGUUACAGAGAAGUUUAUGUGAAGCGAGAGGGUUGGGGUUAGGGGUUUGGCUUCAGGUCAGAGUCAGGGUUAGGGUUAGGUUUAGGGUUAGGGUUACGUGUAGUGUUAGUGUUAGUUUUGCUUAGGGUUCGGGUUUGAAUGAAGUGAGGGUACGCUUAGCGUUAUGCUUUAGGGUGAAAUUCUGGUUAAGGGUGAGGGUUCGGCUCAGGGUUAGGGUUAGAGUUAGGGUCAGUGGUUAGGGUUAGGUUAGGGUUAAGGUUAGUUUUAGGCUAAGGAUUAGGAUUAGAGUUAGGGUUAAGGGUUACUGUUUCAGUUAGGUUUAGGUUAAGGUUAUAAUUAGGGUUAAGUUUAGGGUUAGGGUAAGAGUUAGAGUUACAUUUACAGUUAAGGUGAGGGUUCUGGGUAAGUGUUACCGUUAAGGUUAGGGUUAGGGCUAGGGUUAGGGUUAGAGUUAAGGUUAAGGGUUAGGGUUAGGUUGAAGUUUAUGGUAGGCUUAAAGAUAGGGUUGAGGUUAGGUUAGGGUUAGGGUCAGGGUCAGGGUUAGAAUUAGAAUUAGGUUUAGGGCGAGGAUUAGGGUCAGAGUUAUUGUAAGGGUUAGGUUUCGGGUUACAGGUGGGCCAAGGUUAAGGUGAGGGUUAGGUUUAUGGGGAGGGUUAGGGUUAAAGUCAGGGUGAGUUUUAGGUUAGGGAUAGGGUGAAGUUUAAGAUAGGGUGAGGGUUAGGGUUAUGGCUAAGGUUUGGGCUUGUUUUCAGGUUAGUGUUAAGGUUAUGUUCAGGGUUAGGGUUACGUUCAGGGGUUGUGUUCAGUUUUAGGGUUAGGGUUAGAUUUAAGGUUAGGGUUAAGUUUAGUGUUACGUUUAGGGUUAGGGUCAUGGUUGUGUUAGGCUUUGUGGUUGGGGUGAGGGUUAGUUUUAGGGUUAGGGUUGGUUAGGGUUAGGAUUACCGUUAUGAUAAGGCGUUAGGGGUUAGAGGUGUAGUUUAGGGUUAGGGUUUGGGUGAGGGUUCCGGUUAGGCCUUGCGGUUCUGGUCAUGGUUAGGUUUGGUUUAGGCUUGGGGUUAGGUGCAUGAUUCGGUUUCGGGUUAGUGUUAGAGUUAGGGUGAGAGUUAGUGUUAAGGUUUUUGCUAGGCUUUGGUGUUAGGGUUAGGGUUUGUGUUAGGGUUAGGUUUAUCAUUAGGGCUCAGGGGUUUCAGGUUAAUGUUAGGGUUAGGGUUAGGGAUAGCAUUAGGGUUAGGGUUGUGGGAUACGGUUAGGAUUUAGGGUGCGGGUUACGGUUAGUUUUCCAGUUAAGGUGAGGGUUUAGGGUAAUUGUUACGAUUAGGGUUAUAGUCAGAGUUAGGGUUUGGUUUAGGAUUAGGGUUAGGUGUAGGGUAAGAAUUAGGUUUAGGUCCAUGUUGAGGGUUAGACUUAGUGUUCUAUUUAGGGUCAGGGUUAGGGGUAGGGUUAGGAUUAGGUCUAGGGUUAGGAUUAGGAUUAUUUUAGGGUUAGGUUCAGGGCUAUUGUAAGUGUUCGGUUUAGGGUUACAGAUGGACUAGCGUUAUUCUUAGAGUUAGGUUUAAGGUUAGGGUUUGGGUUAGGUCUAGGUUUAGGGUUAAGGUUAUGGUUAGUGUUUGGAUGAAGUUCAGGAUAGGGUGAGGGUUAUUUUUAUGGUGAGGGCUAGGGUUUGGGUUUGUGUGCAGGUUAGUGUUAAGGAUAGGUUUAGGGUUCGGUGAGGGUUAGGCGUUAUGUCUAGGGUCAGCGUUAGGUUAGCUUUAGGGUUAGUGUGAAGUUUAGGUUAAGGGUGAGGGUUAUGGUAAGGGUUAGGAUUAUAGACGGUGUUAGACGUUAGGUUUAGGGUGUUAGGGUUAGGUUUAUGGUUAGGGUAGAUUUAAGUUUAGGUUUAAUAUUAGGGUUAGGGUUAGAUUUGGGUUACUGUUCGUAUUAGGGUUAGAGUUAGGGAUAAGUUUGGGGAUAGCGUCAGGUUUAGGGUUGGGGAUACGGUUAAGGAUUAGGGUGAGGGUUAGGGUUAGGUUUACAGUUAAGGCGAGGGUUUAGGGUAAUUGUUAUGGUUAGGGUUAGAGUUAGAGUUAGGCUUAGGGUUAGGGUGAAGUUUCAGUUAAUAGUCAGGGUUAGGCUUAAGGUUAGAGUAGGGUUAAGGUUAGUGUUCGGGUUAGGUAUAGCGUUAGGGUUUGGGUAGGGGUAAGGUUAGGGUUAAGGCUAGGUUUACGGUAAAGGGUAGGGCUAGCUUAGGGUUAGAUUUAGAGUUGGAGUUAGUGCUAGGGUUUAGGAUGAUGGUUAUGGUCAGGUUCAGAGUUGUUGUUAGGGUUAGGGUAGAGUUAAGGUUAGGGUUAAUUUAGGGUUAGAGAAAGGGUUAGGUUUAGGUCUGGGUUAGGUGUAGGAUGCGGGGUAGGGUUAGGGUUAGGGGUUCAUGGGAGGGUUAGUGUUAAGUUUCCAUUAAGCUGAUGUUUUAGGGUGUUACUGUUAGGGCUAGGGUUAGCAUUAGGUUUAGGGUCAGGGCUAGAGUCAGGGGAUAGUUAAGGGUUAGCUUUACUUUCAGGGUUAGGGUUAGCCUUAGGUUUAGGGUGAAGUUUAGGUUAAGGAUGAGGGUUAGGGUUAGGGUUAGGCAUUUGGGUUAAGGUUAGGGUUAGGUUUAGGAUUAGGCUUAGGGUUAGGGUUAGGUGUUUGGGUUAAUGUUAGGGUCAGGUUUAGGGUUCGGCUUAGGGUUAGGGCUACAGCUGGGGUAAAGUUUAAUUGAAGGGUGAGGGUUGAGCUUAGGGUUAGCGUUAGGGGUUAGGGUUAGAGCUUAGGUUAGGAUUAAGUGUAGGGUUAAGGUUAGGUUUAGAUUUAGGGUUAGGGUUAGUGUUAGGGUUAAGUCAUGUUUAGGUUUAGGGCUAGGUGAAGGUUAUAGAUAGGGUUAGGUUAAGGGUUGAGGUUAGGUUUAGAUGGUAAGAUGAGGGUUAGUGCUAGGUUUCCAUUGAAGCUGAGUGUGUAGGGUAAGUUUUAGGGUUAGGAUUAGGGUUAGAGUUAGGGUUAGGGUCAGGGUUAGUUUUGAGUUUAGAGUUAGGGUUACGUUUAUGGUACGGUCAGGGUUAGGGGAGAUUUAGUGUUACGUUUAGUUUUAGGGCUAGGGUUACAGAGAAGUUUAUGUGAAGCGAGAGGGUUGGGGUUAGGGGUUUGGCUUCAGGUCAGAGUCAGGGUUAGGGUUAGGUUUAGGGUUAGGGUUACGUGUAGUGUUAGUGUUAGUUUUGCUUAGGGUUCGGGUUUGAAUGAAGUGAGGGUACGCUUAGCGUUAUGCUUUAGGGUGAAAUUCUGGUUAAGGGUGAGGGUUCGGCUCAGGGUUAGGGUUAGAGUUAGGGUCAGUGGUUAGGGUUAGGUUUAGGGUUAAGGUUAGUUUUAGGCUAAGGAUUAGGAUUAGAGUUAGGGUUAAGGGUUACUGUUUCAGUUAGGUUUAGGUUAAGGUUAUAAUUAGGGUUAAGUUUAGGGUUAGGGUAAGAGUUAGAGUUACAUUUACAGUUAAGGUGAGGGUUCUGGGUAAGUGUUACCGUUCAGGUUAGGGUUAGGGCUAGGGUUAGGGUUAGAGUUAAGGUUAAGAGUUAGGGUUAGGUUUAAGUUUAUGGUAGGCUUAAAGAUAGGGUUGAGGUUAGGUUAGGGUUAGGGUCAGGGUUAGAAUUAGAAUUAGGUUUAGGGCGAGGAUUAGGGUCAGAGUUAUUGUAA